rnacentral:rRNA from 1 species
AACUUGAAGCAAUUCAAGGGAAAGUGGCGGACGAGCGAGUAACACGUAAGCAUCUGCCCUGUACUCGGGGACAACCUAUCGAAAGAUGGGCUAAUACCGGAUGGUCUGGCAACAGUAAAGAUUUAUCGGUACAGGAGGAGCUUGCGGCUUAUCAGUUUGUUGGUGGGGUAAAGGCCUACCAAGACUAUGACGAGUAGCUGGUGUGAGAGCAUGACCAGCCGCGAUGGGACUGAGACACGGCCCAUACUCC